rnacentral:lncRNA from 1 species
GUCUGCAUUUCCAUGCUCAUCAAACACCUGUGCAGACUGUCUCUGAUUUGCAACUUGCUUCAGAUUGUGUCUCAGAUAUUAACCCCGGAUGUGACAAUAUAAGCUCAACAGACUGCCUUGGCCACCUUAGCAGACUCCUCACUGCGGUCAGAGCCUGCAGCCUCUCCCUACUCCCACUGGUCCUUGGCCAGCAGCUCCUGACACCCAGAGGAUUCAGCUUGGGGCCUCUGAAUUUCUUGAAUUCUUCUGAGACCAAAAGAAGAAUAAAUCAAAGAAGAACUCUUACAUUGGUAUGUAGACACAUCCUAUUGAGAUGCCUAGAGUUACUGAUGGAAUCUUUCUUCACAGUGCUUUGUCUUAUUCAAAGUGCUUGAAGGUUGAUUUCUGCAAGGGGGGUGUUCUCCUGUCUGAUUUCCUCGACUUAAUGAUUUGGAAUAUGUGUGACAUAAAAAUGAGCAACGUAUGUGUUGAUGGC